rnacentral:lncRNA from 1 species
UUAUGCUAGUUGUCUAAAUUACAUGUGAUUUUGAUACUGGAAUUGCUUCCGCUGCAUAUAAUAAUCCAUCAACUUCAAGUGAAAAUUACCACUAUUCUGUUGUUGCAUGACUUGCUAGCGCGCAAAUUCGUCUCAUCCAAUUGAAGAUCUCCUCCUCCUUUUUCGCCUGAGACCCAAUCUUCCAGCAGUAAAUUUUGAUAAGUCAAAUUUUCAGUAGAACGGUUUAAUUCUAUACUAAUUUAGUUGGCAAAAGACAAAAUUCAUAAUGCAUCUGCAAAACAAGGACAAUUACUGACAUGCAUGUAAAAAAUUCUACGAAGAAAUUAUUCAAACGAAUAGAAAACUAACAUAUACUAUCUAAUUUUUAAUUACCAGCAGAACAAGUACAAUAAACAAAGAAAAACAGUACAAAUAAGUCACCAAAUCAGAGAGCUCACACCAAAUUCAAAUAGAAGAAAGAUGGAUAAACUUUGAAUCAGUUAAGAUCAAAUCCUGAUUUUUAUCAACAUAUAGGCAAAAAACAAAAGAUUGCAAGAAAACUUACCAGAUCAAUGAGCUCACACUUGAAAGAGGGAAAACCAGAAAGAGCAAAAAAAUUGAGAAAGAAUUGAAAAACGAAAAGUAAAAGGAUAAGUG